rnacentral:rRNA from 1 species
AGAGUUUGAUUCUGGCUCAGGACGAACGCUGGCGGCGCGCCUAACACAUGCAAGUCGAACGAGAGAGAAGGAGCUUGCUUCUUCGAUCGAGUGGCGAACGGGUGAGUAACGCGUGAGGAACCUGCCUCAAAGAGGGGGACAACAGUUGGAAACGACUGCUAAUACCGCAUAAGCCCACGGGUCGGCAUCGACCUGAGGGAAAAGGAGUGAUCCGCUUUGAGAUGGCCUCGCGUCCGAUUAGCUAGUUGGUGAGGUAACGGCCCACCAAGGCGACGAUCGGUAGCCGGACUGAGAGGUUGAACGGCCACAUUGGGACUGAGACACGGUCCAAACUCCUACGGGAGGCAGCA